CCUGAACGCUGGCGGCGUGGCUAAGACAUGCAAGUCGCACGGGGUAGCAAUACCCAGUGGCGAACGGGUGAGUAAUGAAUCGCUAAUGUACCCCGGACUCUGGGAUAGCUGCCCGAAAGGGCAGGUAAUACCAGAUGAGACCACGGAGAGGCAUCUCUCUGUGCUCAAAGGUCCGCCGGUCUGGGAGCAGGCGAUUUCGUAUCAGCUUGUUGGUGAGGUAACGGCUCACCAAGGCGACGACGCGUAGCCGGACUGAGAGGUUGGCCGGCCACAUUGGGACUGAGACACUGCCCAGGCUCCUACGGGGGGCUGCAGUAACGAAUCUUCCGCAAUGCACGAAAGUGUGACGGAGCGACGCCGCGUGUAGGACGAAGCCCUUCGGGGUGUAAACUACUGUCAGGGGUUAGAAAGUUCUGAUCAACCCCAGAGGAAGGCACGGCUAACUCUGUGCCAGCAGCCGCGGUAAGACAGAGGUGCCAAGCGUUAGGCGG
rnacentral:rRNA from 1 species